rnacentral:rasiRNA from 1 species
GACUAGACGAGACAACGACGGCUCA